GCUCCCCUUGUUUGGCCCUCUCAUUUUCAUUUCCUUCCAAAUUCUCUCUGUGCCCACCUCUCCCUCUCUCUCUCUCUCUCUCUCUCUCUCUCUGGCAACGGGCACAAUCCUCAAAAGCUUUAUCCUUCUUCGAUUUCCUCUCUCUCUCUCCAUUUCCACUGCAUCACCAGUUCCUAGGGUUUGUUUCUCCCUCACUCUAGUAUGCGCGAUAAUCUCUUGGGGCCCAAGAUUUAGGGCUGGAUUUUGAACUUGGCUACCUACCCCUCCUUACCCAUCACAUUCAGGCAGGGCAAAUGAGAUGGUUAGUCCACUUUUUCUAAUCUUGAGCUGGAUUUGGGAGUACAACCAUUCUUUCUCUCAAGAGUGUGGUCUGAAUGGAUGAAUUAGAGUGGAUAUUUCUCUCUAGUGGAUUUUAAAUGGAUGAAUUGGAGUCUUUAUUUUUCAUCAUCAACAGAAGGGGUUGGACUUUGAAGUACAAUCAUUCUUUCUCUCAAGAGGGUGAAGAAGCCAUAUUGAGCUCAUUUCUUCUACUCAGCACUUGAAGCCGCUACAUGUCAUCAUCCAUACGAUGACUACCAGCAAAAACCAUGAUGGCUAAAGAGUCCAUCGAUUUCACCCCAUGAGAUUUUACGGUGAUAGCUUAUCAGCCCACAAUAAAUGGAAUCGCAAGCUUUUCAUCCACUGAAAGUUCAAGUCUCCCCACGAUGCAGCACCUAUAAAAGAAAAUCAGAAACUGGUCAACAUCUCGACAUAUACUGAGCAAUACAACAAAUGAGAACUCGGCUCUCAAGUUCAUUCCUUUUUUGCCAAUUUCGAAUUUUUCUGACCAAUUUUCUUGACAAAAUUAACGUGCAGUAAGCAUCAAAUUUCACAAAAGAUACAAGAAAUGGGGCCAUGUACUACAAAUAACAGUAUCAGAUAAAAGGGCAAUGGUCUCAAACAACAAGAGACGCUCUAAACAGAGGCCAUGUAGUAGUCAUAAUCAAGCUUCACAUUCAUAAGAUGCCCAUUCUAUAACUAAGAAAAUUGCCACAACAUAGCACAAAAUUUCAAACUAAUACAAAAAUAAUCAAUGCCCACAAUAGCCUCGAAGGUCAAAGGACUAAUCCUUUGAUUCCCAAGUUCAACUGAGAGGGCCAAUAACAGAGCAAGCAGUAAUAGAGGGUAUAGUUUCCAACCUCAGAGAGAUUGAUGAAUAUGAAAUGAAUUGACAUAAGGAAAAUGAGGGAUGACAGCUAUAAUGCUCAAAAGAAAGGUGGUUCCUGCAUGAUUGAGAUUGUUGUAUAUAAAUACAUCAAAUGCAAAAAAUAAGUAACUUCAGAU